rnacentral:rRNA from 1 species
UACGUAGGGGAUAAGUAAAUAUUUUUGGUUUAAUAGUUAGAUUUAGUGAUUUUUUAUAGUUAAUAUUUUUAGGUGAAAUUUUAAUUUUGAUUAUAAUUGAUAUAAUUGAAGCUAUGAAAUUUAUUUUAAAGACAA